AUUGAACGCUGGCGGCAGGCUUAACACAUGCAAGUCGAGCGGUAACAGAGAGAAGCUUGCUUCUCUGCUGACGAGCGGCGGACGGGUGAGUAAUGCCUAGGAAUCUGCCUAGUAGUGGGGGAUAACUUGCCGAAAGGUAAGCUAAUACCGCAUACGUCCUACGGGAGAAAGGAGGGGACAUUAGGGCCUUUCGCUAUUAGAUGAGCCUAGGUCGGAUUAGUUAGUUGGUGAGGUAAUGGCUCACCAAGACCGCGAUCCGUAACUGGUCUGAGAGGAUGAUCAGUCACACUGGAACUGAGACACGGUCCAGACUCCUACGGGAGGCAGCAGUGGGGAAUAUUGGACAAUGGGGGGAACCCUGAUCCAGCCAUGCCGCGUGUGUGAAGAAGGUCUUAGGAUUGUAAAGCACUUUAAGUUGGGAGGAAGAGCAGUUAACUAAUAUUUGACUGUUUUGACGUUACCGACAGAAUAAGCACCGGCUAACUUCUUGCCAGCCGCCGCGGUAA
rnacentral:rRNA from 1 species